GAUGAAGAACGUAGCGAAAUGCGAUAAGUAAUGUGAAUUGCAGAAUUCAGUGAAUCAUCGAAUCUUUGAACGCACAUUGCGCCCCCCAGUAUUCUGGCGGGCAUGCCUGUUCGAGCGUCAUUUCAACCAUCAAGCCCUGCUUGUGUUGGGGUCCUGCGGCUGCCCGCAGGCCCUGAAAACCAGUGGCGGGCUCGCUAGUCACACCGAGCGCAGUAGCACAUCUCGCUCAGGGCGUGCGGCGGGCUCCAGCCGUUAAAGCACCCACCUCUCGCAAGGUUGACCUCGGAUCAGGUAGGAAUACCCGCUGAACUUAAGCAUAUCAAUAAGCGGAGGA
rnacentral:misc_RNA from 1 species